CUUCUCUCCAGUUUGCUCCUAACUGCCUGCACUUUCACCUCGCUUCUGGGCACUGCUCCCGGGCUCUGGCGGUGCUUUGGCCCCAUGUCCAGGGAGCCUGACCCGCCUGGUGGCUGUGAUUCCCUGGGACAGCCCCUGGGUGACCACUGUGAGUCUGAGCUCUUGCCUUGGGGCAGGACGAACUGGGUGCUCCUCAGACCCAGAUCCGGCUGAGGCUGGGAUAUUGGCUCGAGUGACACCUGGGCUUGGCUUCCUUCCCUGCCCUGUCCUGUCUCCCCUGUGCAGCCUCCCCUGAAGCGCGGGUCUACAAACCUCAUCCCAGGACCCGUUUCUAGGAGACAGUGAGGCUAAGACCCAGUGCCUGCCCGAUGCAUUAACAGAUGGAAUCCUCCUGAGGACCCUAGGAAGCAGGGAGAAACUCUCCACGGGUGCUGAGAUGUCUUUGACACCUCGCUGAGUAAGGUUGGCAGAGCUUCCUUCACAACAGCCGGAAACGGUUUCCAUUGAAAACCUUCCUCAGGCAGCAGGACAGAAAGCAGACUUGGGUGACACCUUUUGUUUCUCUGUGUUCACUUUCACCAUCACCUACUCUUCCGAGCACACAAUUUAACCCAGGACAGCAGGGAGACAGCACCCCAGGCCGAGUGAAGGGGAGGACCGCACAGGCAAACGCUGGCCUGGCGAGGCACCAGAGGCUGUAGAGGAAAGCGCCUCCCACCUGUGAGAUGCCAACAAGAUACCCAGGGUCUGAAGAGUCUUAAAAGAAAAGCAAGGAGCGGGGGUAUGAUAUCCGACCAAAGAGCAAACGCCCGAGCCACUUGGCACUGCACUCUAACUGGGAGGCUGAGCACACAAAUUAGAUGUUUGUAAGAAUAAACAGUCAUUAGAACUCGAGAACUAGAGGAGAAAUAAACAUCAUUUCAAGAUAUUUGACUAAUUUGGCUCUGAGCUCUGCCUGCCUGUGAAUGUGCUGGUUUCUGGCUUGCGGGGAUGCCUGUGUAUCUGUGCAUGCUUCUUGUUAGCCCUCUUGGUUACGUGUCCUUACUGAGUGCCAAAGUCUCCUCUGUAAAAUGGGGAUAACAGCAACACCCAACUCAAGGGUGUUGGGAGAGUGGAACAAGGAAAUACACACAAAUUGAUUAAAACAGAGCCUGGCACCUAUAGUAAGUGCUCAAGAAAUGUGAGCAAUACUCUACAUUUGCUCACAUAUUCAUUCGUUCAGCAAAUAUGCAGAGGGUCCCAGCCAGGGGAGGCCCUGUUCCUAGUGUUAGGGAUCAAAAGACAGUGAGAUUCCUCGUGCCAGCUGAUGCCAGGCACACGGUGGGCGCCCAGGAACAGAUUUUUGAAGAAUGAAUGUAUGGGGCAUGGACUUUGCCUUCAAGAGCUGUGGCCUGGGGAGGAGACAGACUUGUAAAUAAAUCACUGCAAACACUGUCAUGAUAAAUGCAAAGCAGUUCCAGCUAUAAAUUUCACCUAAAGUACAGUAAAAGGACCGGCCCUGAUGGUGGAAUUUCAGAGACAGAGGCCAAGGCAGGGAACAGUGCUGCGGGAAUGAGGCCCUCUUAGAUGCUUUGAAAUUGUACCAGGAAGACCACAGCCCCUGAACCCAGUUCAGAGUGGAGACAGCAGGGCAGGGAAGCCCUCACACCGUGGAUGAUGACAGGUACACACUUUGGAGGACUCAGGCCACUGGGCUGGAUGACCCUGGCCAUCCCCCUGCCUCAGGGCCCAUGGCCC
rnacentral:lncRNA from 1 species